UUUAAUAGAUAUACAGGAAGCUCCUUUCAAUGAAAGAGUUCUAGCUGGUAUUGGCAAUCCAUUUUCUAAAAUGAUUAAACACGGCGAAAUGGCUGAAAUGGGAUUGAAGGCCGGUAAAAUUCAAGACCUAGUCGCUCUUAAAGAUGUUGCUGAGCACAUCCAGUCCGGUUCUUAUGGAAACAACCCCCGGAGGGUCCAUAAAAAGAAAGAGGAGGAUGUUUCCUUGAUACUACAAGGACAAAAAGUCAAUCCAAGCAUGCCUAUGCAGAGGAGAAACUACUCCCCUUUUCCAGCACAAUCUUCAAACCCUCCAUUACCAAAAAGUGGAGAAGUGAAGCGACCUCGAACGUU
rnacentral:lncRNA from 1 species